AUGGAAUGGAAUGGAAUGGAUUGGAAUGGAAUGCAAUGGAAUGGAAUGGAAUGGAAUGGAAUCAUUCCGAGUGGAAUGGAAGUGAAUGUAAUCGAGUGGAAUGGAAAGGAAUGGAAUCAACACCAGCGCAAUGGAAUGGAAUGGAAUGGAAUGGAAUGGAAUGGAAUGGAAUGGAAUUGAAUGGAAUGGAAUGGUACGGAAUAGAAUGGAAUGGAACGAAAUGGAAUGGAAUGGAAUGGAAUGGAAUGGAAUGUUACGGAAUAAAAUGGAAUGGAACGAAAUGGAAUGGAAUGGGAAGGAAUGGAAUGGAAUGGAAUGGAAUGGUACGGAAUAGAAUGGAAUGGAACGAAAUGGAAUGGAAUGGAAUGGAAUGGAAUGGAAUCAUUCCG
rnacentral:lncRNA from 1 species